UACGGGGGGGGCAAGCGUUGUUCGGAAUUACUGGGCGUAAAGGGUGCGUAGGCGGGUCUUUAAGUCAGGGGUGAAAUCCUGGAGCUCAACUCCAGAACUGCCUUUGAUACUGAGGAUCUUGAGUUCGGGAGAGGUGAGUGGAACUGCGAGUGUAGAGGUGAAAAUUCGUAGAUAUUCGCAAGAACACCAGUGGCGAAGGCGGCUCACUGGCCCGAUACUGACGCUGAGGCACGAAAGCGUGGGGAGCAAACAGG
rnacentral:rRNA from 1 species